AAAACUUUCAACAACGGAUCUCUUGGUUCUGGCAUCGAUGAAGAACGCAGCGAAAUGCGAUAAGUAAUGUGAAUUGCAGAAUUCAGUGAAUCAUCGAAUCUUUGAACGCACAUUGCGCCCGCUAGUAUUCUGGCGGGCAUGCCUGUCCGAGCGUCAUUUCAACCC
rnacentral:rRNA from 1 species